AGAGUUUGAUCCUGGCUCAGGAUGAACGCUGGCGGCGUGCUUAAUACAUGCAAGUCGAACGAAGUCAGUAGCAAUAUUGGCUGAGUGGCGAACGGGUGAGUAACGCGUUGGUGACNNNNNNNNNNNNNNNNNNNNNNNNNNNNNNNNNNNNNNNNNNNNNNNNNNNNNNGUUUGGAUUAGAUGCCUUAUGACUAAACGGAUUUAUUCGCUUCGGGAGGGGCCUGCGUCCCAUCAGCUAGUUGGUAGGGUAAUGGCCUACCAAGGCGAUGACGGGUAGGGGACCUGAGAGGGUGGCCCCCCACAAUGGAACUGAAACACGGUCCAUACACCUACGGGUGGCAGCAGUAGGGAAUAUUGGUUAAUCUGGAAAGCCUGAACCAGCAACGCCGCGUGUGCGAUGACGGCCUUCGGGUUGUAAAGCACUUUUAGAGAGGAUGAGGAAGGACGGUACUCUCUGAAUAAGUCUCGGCUAACUACGUGCCAGCAGCCGCGGUAACACGUAGGAGACUAGCGUUAUCCGGAUUUACUGGGCGUAAAGCGCGUGCAGGUGGUUCUGUAAGUAGGGCGUGAAAGCUCCUGGCUCAACUGGGAGAGGCCGUUCUAAACUGCAGAGCUAGAGAGUGGUAGAGGGAGUUGGAAUUCCGGGUGUAGUGGUAAAAUGCGUAGAUAUCCGGAAGAACACCAGUGGCGAAAGCGGACUCCUGGACCAUUUCUGACGCUCAGACGCGAAAGCUAGGGGAGCGAACGGGAUUAGAGACCCCGGUAGUCCUAGCUGUAAACGAUGUAGACUUGGCGUUGGAGGGGUUAAAUCCUUCAGUGCCGAAGCAAACGCGAUAAGUCUACCGCCUGGGGACUACGGCCGCAAGGUUAAAACUCAAAGGAAUUGACGGGGCCCCGCACAAGCAGCGGAGCGUGUGGUUUAAUUCGAUGAUACACGAAGAACCUUACCAGGGUUUGACAUGCUAGUGGUAGGGAUCCGAAAGGUGACCGACCCCUCGGGGAGCUAGCACAGGUGCUGCAUGGCUGUCGUCAGCUCGUGUCGUGAGAUGUUCGGUUAAGUCCGCUAACGAGCGCAACCCUUGUCCUUAGUUGCCAUCACGAUAUGGGACCGCCGGUAUCAAACCGGAGGAAGGUGGGGAUGACGUCAAGUCAGCAUGGCCCUUAUGGCCUGGGCUACACACACGCUACAAUGGUCAGUACAGUAGGUUGCAAAACCGCGAGGUGGAGCCAAUCCAUAAAGCUGGCCUCAGUUCAGAUUGCAGGCUGCAACUCGCCUGCAUGAAGUCGGAGUUGCUAGUAAACGCAGGACAGCUAUACUGCGUUGAAUACGUUCCCGGGCUUUGUACACACCGCCCGUCACGUCAUGGGAGCUGGCAACACCUGAAGCCGGUAUCCUAACCCGCAAGGGAAGGAGCUGUCUAAGGUGGGGCUGGUGACUGGGACGAAGUCGUAACAAGGUAACC
rnacentral:rRNA from 1 species